rnacentral:rRNA from 1 species
AGAGUUUGAUCCUGGCUCAGAUUGAACGCUGGCGGCAGGCCUAACACAUGCAAGUCGAGCGGAUGAAGGGAGCUUGCUCCUGAAUUCAGCGGCGGACGGGUGAGUAAUGCCUAGGAAUCUGCCUGGUAGUGGGGGACAACGUUUCGAAAGGAACGCUAAUACCGCAUACGUCCUACGGGAGAAAGCAGGGGACCUUCGGGCCUUGCGCUAUCAGAUGAGCCUAGGUCGGAUUAGCUAGUUGGUGAGGUAAUGGCUCACCAAGGCGACGAUCCGUAACUGGUCUGAGAGGAUGAUCAGUCACACUGGAACUGAGACACGGUCCAGACUCCUACGGGAGGCAGCAGUGGGGAAUAUUGGACAAUGGGCGAAAGCCUGAUCCAGCCAUGCCGCGUGUGUGAAGAAGGUCUUCGGAUUGUAAAGCACUUUAAGUUGGGAGGAAGGGUUGUAGAUUAAUACUCUGCAAUUUUGACCUUACCGACAGAAUAAGCACCCGGCCUAAACUCUGUGCCAGCAGCCGCGGUAAU